CGCGGGCGGAGGCUUCCGGGGCUGGGGGCGGUGCCACGUGCAGUGCCGGCGGCGCACGGCAGAGGGCGUAGAGGAGCUACCGCCGCCCUCCCGGAUCCCACGGCGCGGUCCGCGACGCCCGCCCUGCCGCCGCCUGGCCGAAGCCUCUCCAAGGCCAAGGCCACCCUCGGCCCCGCCCCGCCGCAACCGCCGCCCCGGAGUGUCGGUCGAAGAUCACCCUAGGCCCACGCCCUCUGCCCGCCCCGGACGCGCCACCCCUUCCUGGGCCUCCCUCCCUCCUUCCGCUCCAGGUCAGCCCCACAUUUCUCCCUGGAGCUCUGAGAGUCUUCCAGAAAAAGUUCCUGAGGAGAGCUCACUGCUGGAGGUCUUGGUCUCUCACACCCUUGGAGCUCAUCUACCCAAGUGAGGCUGAGUGCCCUCCGCCAGUGCAGACAGACCCAGUCCGUGUUGAUGCAAAACCAGAUGAAGAAAAUGAGGCCCAGGAUGGACCUUGUUCUAUCUGGAAAAAGACAGAAAAGGGACCUUAGGACUGGAAAGGCAACUAUAGGAGCAGCACCCCCCUGGUGGCGUUGGGGACCCAAGCUUGAGGCAAAACUCACUCAAGGACAGCAGAGCAGAGGGAAUGGAGUCCUUGAGCUGCUGCAUCCAACCUCCCAAACCUGCCAUCCUACUGAACUUCUGCUAUGAGAGAAAUGGUAUUAAGAUUGAUUUGGAAGACAAGCACAGUGGCCCCAAGGAUCACAAGUUUGAGACCAGUCUGGGCAAGUUGAUAAGAGC
rnacentral:lncRNA from 1 species